rnacentral:rRNA from 1 species
ACAGAGGGUGCGAGCGUUGUUCGGAAUUAUUGGGCGUAAAGGGCGCGUAGGCGGUGCGGUAAGUCACCUGUGAAAUCUCUGGGCUCAACUCAGAGUCUGCUUCCGAAACUGUUGUGCUUGAGUGUGGGAGAGGCGCGUGGAAUUGCAGGUGUAGCGGUGAAAUGCGUAGAUAUCUGCAGGAACACCCGUGGCGAAAGCGGCGCGCUGGACCACUACUGACGCUGAGGAACGAAAGCUAGGGGAGCAAACAGGA